AGAAUUGACUCCUCUGAAUUGGUAAGAGAUAUGCAUUAGUAUAUUUCAAUUUAGCAAAACCUUGGUCAGGAUAAUCUAUGAGAUGGAUUUGAAAGGUUGAAAUAUAAUGUGGUCGACUUAAUUAGGGUUGAUAGUUAAACCCUAAGUCACCUUGAGCAUUUGGAUCAAAGGGAUGAAUUAUACGAUAACCAUACGCCAGU
rnacentral:lncRNA from 1 species